AGUGUCGGUGCAUGUACUCUGAAAGGCCAUCUCUUCAUUGCUUUCCGGUAUUUUGCAAACGGAAGCCUUGACAAGCUUAUCUAUAGUGAGAAAUUCGCGUACGACCAGCGUUUUUGGCUCCAGGCUGCCAUUGACAUUGCGGAGGG
rnacentral:sRNA from 1 species